GUAGCGAGCGUUAUUGUGUCGAUGAUGUGAAGGAUACUGCCCCUCAGAGGCAAACAACGGCAACGUUGGCCCGUGACGGAGGGAGCGGGCUCGUACUACCACCUCAACCACCGGGAGCUGGUCGCCAUGCUGGUGGAGCGGGAGGCGGAGCUGGAGCGGCAGAAGGCGGAGUUCGAGCGCCAGAAGCUGGCGCUGGCCAAGCGGGAGGUGGAGCUGAGGAAGCUGAAGCCGCAGGUCAAAGACCUGGAGGACUACAUCGACACGCUGCUGGUGCGCAUCAUGGAGCAGAAGCCCACCCUCCUGCAAGUGCGCUCCAAGUUAAAGUGACGGGGAGAGAGAGAGACGGGGGUCUUUUCACUGCUGCGCUUGUCCUUUUUGAUACAGACGCGUCGGGGGGGGCGAGCUAACCCUCGUCCCCGUUGGAGGCUCUGGUUCCCGGGGCGGUUCUGAAUGUAGCGGGUCCUCAGGUUGUUUUCAGGUUCACACAGCCGGUUGGUUUCGAGAUGCAUCCAUUUGUAUGGACCUCGAUUGUGGAGACAGUGAUUCCUUCUGCUCACUUCUGUCACCGUAUCACAAGAGAAGCGUCCGACCGACUCCUCGCAAUGUUUUUCAAAGGUAUUUUUUAAGAAGUGUUGCGGUUCCGUGGGGAAAGGAGAGCGAACGACUGGUGGUUUUGCAUGUUUCAGACCAUUGACCACAAAUUGCACAGUUUGAGUCAAUGUUGGCCGUUUCUGCAGGAAACCAUCAGAGUUUAGAUUGAUUUUAUAUCUGUUUAGGCAGCCAUUGGUUUAGCUUCAUUUCAAUGCAGCAUGCAGAGACCUGCUCAGGAGAAGAAUCUAUCACAGGGGAACAUUUACUUUGAUUUUAUAGUGAUGCAGCGAGAGCUGAAGGAGGGUUCGGUUACCAGAGGACAUCGCUCUCAUAAGCUUGUAGGGCAGCAACUUUAGUUAUUUAAAAUCUAAAUUAAUCUACUGAAUAAUAAGGUGAUGUAAUUAUAAAAUGUUUGCAUCCUGAAAACUGGUUAAAACAAAAUAAAUAGUAAUUGAUAAAGUUUGACAAAUUUGGUUAGAACCAAGCUAACUGUCCCCCCACCGACCCCCCCCCCCCCCC
ensembl:lncRNA